ACCCAGUCUCACGGCAUUUCGUGAUUUGGUCACGUAAUUUAAUCUAUUUAUUCGUUGCAGGAACACGUUUAUUUCAUUAUUUUCGUAAUUCCAGCACGUUUUUUUAACUAAUGUAUUUCAAUUGGAUGCAUCUUUCGUGCAUAUAGCACGAUUUUUUCUGCCAGUCGGGCUGCAGUAGGGAAGCUCAACAUUUAUUCACAAGAUCUUAUCAAGACUGCAAUACAUAAGAAUAAAUAGGAAUCGGCAACAAUUAACGAUCUAUGCCAGCGCAUGUCAAUAUUUAUCUGGUCAUUUUCAACUGGUUUUUAAUGUUAAAAGUCCCUGUCAGUCAACAGCUGUUUCCGGUGAGUUCAACUGCAGGAUCAAUAGCAUUCAGCGGUGAGUUUAACAACGCUCAAAUGUGGGUAAAAUAACAUUCAGAGAGGAGUUUUAUUAAAACAGCGUUAAACUGCAUGUAAGACAACAUUCAGAGUCCUGUAAUAACUGUGAUGUCAUCGAAUGAGACGAAGGUCCAUGGCUAUUUCAACUCGGAAGUUGAGAUGAAGGUGCGGAAACUUGAGGCUGUCGGAUACAAGUCAAUUGUAUUUACCAGGAAAUGGGAUAAAAAGGACCUGCCGGAGAGCCUCGCCGUGGAGCUGCCGGAGAGCAUCGUCAUGGAACGGCCGGAGAAUCUCAACAAGGAGUCUGAGGCUGUAUUUGCAUUAAAUCUUGUUCCUCUGUCCUCUCUCCAACCUCUCUUGCUCCUAUUACUUUUACAACUAUUUUCCUCCACUUUCUUCACCACCUCUUCUGACAUGCUCACUGACACGUCUUUGCCACAGAGAAAGAGGAAUACAAAGACAUCUACUGUACCUCUUCAAACUAUACCAUGGCUUCAAACUAUACCAUAAAGCAGGGUUCCCCAAAUCUUACCCUGGAGGGCCGGAACACUGCAGAGUUUAGCUCCAACCCUAAUCAAACAGACCUGAUCAAGGUCUUCAUGAUCACUAGAAAAUCACAGGUGGGUAAAAUUUAUUAGGGUUGGACCUAAACUCUGUAGUGCUCCGGCCCUCCAGGGUAAGAUUUGGGGAACCCUGGAAUAAAGGGUAACUUUUUUCCUGUUACAUCUUACUCCACAAUUUGCUCCUAGACAAAUCUAUCUUCAUGUAUAUUGAAUUAAUUUACCUAACCAGGUAAUUGUUAGCCAGUUCACAGUGUUUAAAGGCUCGUACAGACUACAUGACUUUAAAAUGUUGGUCCGAACUGUGCGGUUCACACUACAUGACUUGCUCUCUGUGAAAUCAGGAGUGUUCACGUUGUUGAGCAGUUCACACCACACGACAUAACAUGAAUGCCCCACAACAGGAGGUAACGCACUACACGAGUUGAGAACAACUCUAUCACCCGACGAUUCUAUCUUGUCCACAAACCACGUUUUAAUCACGCGAUAAAACAAACCGGAAAUGACGCGAAACAACACGCGCACCAGUAAACCCACAGAAGAAGAAACAAGAAGACGCGCAAAACUUUUGUUUGUAUAUAUAGACUUCAGACAGAAAUUAGUGCUGCAAACCGUUUGUGCGAUGCAAAGACGCAAAAGAAAAAGAUGAAGAGAUGUGUAUGUGGAGAGGUGGAUCAACACCACACGAGGACAGCAGGGAUUUAAGAGUUGGAGAAUAGGACAGGCUUCGCAAAGCAUGACUUGGAGAGCGUUUGUCUUUGACCCUGCGAUUCUAUGCAACAGGUGACAAGUCCCUCAGGUUCAAGUCCAGGAUGGGGGACCAGCACCAUCCCACAAAUAGUUUUGGAUACCUGUGCUGUACCAGGUUAUAAAGGAC